rnacentral:tRNA from 2 species
GCAUUGAUGGUGUAGCGGUAACAUGCGGUCUUCCCAUGGCCGCGCUCCGAGUUCGACUCUCGGUCAAUGCA